AAAUAAGGAAAGAUAGGGCAAGAUAUCUGAGUAGUGCCAUUAUAUAUUCGAAAAAAAAAUCUAUGUCGAGUUAGAAACAAAGGAAACAAGGAAACAGACCAGAUAUAAAAAUGCAGAGAUAUAUUUCAUUUCUGUGAUACAAACCAUAAACAUAGUUUUGUGCAAAAAAGGGAAAAGAUCUGAAAAUAAAGUCAUCUUACAAAAUGUUGUCCACAAAGCGAAAGAUAUUUUUCAGUCUGUGAAAAAAUACUAUUUUAAUACAAAAGGGACUGUGUUAUGCAGUAUCACAGUGCUUUAUAAAAUACAUUAUUACAAGUGGUUUUGAAAUUUAGUUUGUUCACCUUAAUGACUUCAGUAAUUAUAAAAUGUUUAAAAUAAAUGUUAUAGUUCUUUAUAAAAAACUAACUUGAAUUUAUUUUUUACCCAUAGUAAUGUUUUUCCAGAGUAGAUAUUUUACUGGCUCAUGGAAUGCUAAUUUCCCUUUAAGGGACUCCUAGAAAAACUCAGAUUCACUGAAAUUGUGUUUCCUUAAAAUAAUAAAUAUUCUUGGAAAACAAUUGAUUGUCAUAUGAUAUACAAAAUUGUGGUUGAAUCUUCAUCAUUAAACAGUUGCAUAGCAACAAAAGGAUACAAAUAUUCGCCUUUACCUAAAGUUAAAAAAAUGUAACUGCUGAAUCAGCUUAUUUAUGCCGUAAAAUUGUAUUAUUUCCAAAUAAAUCUGAAUAUAGCCAAUUUUUUAUGUUCACAAUACCUAUAGGUCCAUAUUUGUUGUCUGAAGAUUCAUUGUUUGGGAAAAUUGCCACACAUUUUUGUAAACAUAUUUCUUUGAAUUUGUUGUUUUACAAAAUUGAAAUGUCAAUGUGCUUCUAAUUAUCCUACAUUCUCUUUAUCAAAUAUUAUUGCCAGGAAUUAUUUUAUAUCCUGUAAGUCUCUUUGUAAGUCUCUUCAGCUGUAAAAUUUAAAAAAAAAUGAGACUUUGAGACGUUGUUCUUAGAAUAAAGGAGUUUUUUUUUUUUGUUUUUGUUUAACAAGAGAAACAUCAAUCAUAGUAUUCCUUUUUAUACAGAACUUGAAACCCAUAAGAACUCUAAGUUUGGCAAAAGAUGUCUAGCAGGUCAGGCAUGAGAUGCACAUUUGAUACCUUCUUCUAACUAAGGCAAAAAUGAUCAUUUUGCUUCUAUUUACCAGCUUAAAAAAUUCAGUUCAUGGUAAAUGUUUGCUGAGAACUCAGUACUUGGUUUUCAAAGAUAUGUAAUAUUUUGCAAAUAGAAUUUAUAGUCUUUGGAUUCCAACUAACUCUAUGGAUAAAUUGUCAUAUAACUGUUGGUGUUGGAAUAAAAUCUGUGAACAUUUCCAGAUAAGAAAAUAAAGUGUGAGAAACUUUAAAUUAACUAGAUAUUGAUAACAAAGAGUUCCUCCUGCCCCAGAGUCCAC
rnacentral:lncRNA from 1 species